rnacentral:rRNA from 1 species
GUGGGGAAUCUUGCGCAAUGGGCGAAAGCCUGACGCAGCCAUGCAGCGUGAAUGAUGAAGGUCUUAGGAUUGUAAAAUUCUUUCACCGGGGACGAUAAUGACGGUACCCGGAGAAGAAGCUCCGGCUAACUUCGUGCCAGCAGCCGCGGUAAUACGAAGGGGGCUAGCGUUGCUCGGAAUUACUGGGCGUAAAGGGCGCGUAGGCGGACAGCUUAGUCAGAGGUGAAAGCCCAGGGCUCAACCUUGGAAUUGCCUUUGAUACUGGCUGUCUUGAGUUUGGGAGAGGUGAGUGGAACUCCGAGUGUAGAGGUGAAAUUCGUAGAUAUUCGGAAGAACACCAGUGGCGAAGGCGACUCACUGGCCCAAUACUGACGCUGAGGCGCGAAAGCGUGGGGAGCAAACAGGAUUAGAUACCCGUGUAGUCC